rnacentral:rRNA from 1 species
AGUAGGGAAUCUUCGGCAAUGGACGAAAGUCUGACCGAGCAACGCCGCGUGAGUGAAGAAGGUUUUCGGAUCGUAAAACUCUGUUGUUAGAGAAGAACAAGGACGUUAGUAACUGAACGUCCCCUGACGGUAUCUAACCAGAAAGCCACGGCUAACUACGUGCCAGCAGCCGCGGUAAUACGUAGGUGGCAAGCGUUGUCCGGAUUUAUUGGGCGUAAAGCGAGCGCAGGCGGUUUCUUAAGUCUGAUGUGAAAGCCCCCGGCUCAACCGGGGAGGGUCAUUGGAAACUGGGAGACUUGAGUGCAGAAGAGGAGAGUGGAAUUCCAUGUGUAGCGGUGAAAUGCGUAGAUAUAUGGAGGAACACCAGUGGCGAAGGCGGCUCUCUGGUCUGUAACUGACGCUGAGGCUCGAAAGCGUGGGGAGCAAA